CUCUUCUUCAGAAGUGUGUCUGUGGUUCCCUGUCUUUGGACACAUAAGAACUGGAGGCAAAGAAAUGUGGACUUGGAGAAGUCUGGGGCCAGGUGUUCCCUGCAGGCUCAAGAUCAACCAUCUCACAUAG